rnacentral:ncRNA from 2 species
AGCUUCAGCCUCCGCCGCAGUGCUCGGGAAGCCGGUGAGAGUCCGGCGUGGUCCUCGCCACUGUGACCGGGGAGCGUUCCCGCACCACCACGCCACUGGCCGAAGCGUCGGGAAGGCAGCGCGGACGCGACGAUCCGGAAGCCAGGAGACCGGCUGCGGCGCAGGUAUCGCU